rnacentral:rRNA from 1 species
ACGUGGGCAACCUGCCUGUAAGACUGGGAUAACUUCGGGAAACCGGAGCUAAUACCGGAUAAUCCUUUUCCUCUCAUGAGGAAAAGCUGAAAGACGGUUUACGCUGUCACUUACAGAUGGGCCCGCGGCGCAUUAGCUAGUUGGUGAGGUAACGGCUCACCAAGGCGACGAUGCGUAGCCGACCUGAGAGGGUGAUCGGCCACACUGGGACUGAGACACGGCCCAGACUCCUACGGGAGGCAGCAGUAGGGAAUCUUCCGCAAUGGACGAAAGUCUGACGGAGCAACGCCGCGUGAGUGAUGAAGGUUUUCGGAUCGUAAAACUCUGUUGUUAGGGAAGAACAAGUACAAGAGUAACUGCUUGUACCUUGACGGUACCUAACCAGAAAGCCACGGCUAACUACGUGCCAGCAGCCGCGGUAAUACGUAGGUGGCAAGCGUUGUCCGGAAUUAUUGGGGCGUAAAAGCGCGCGCAGGCGGUCCUUUAAGUCUGAUGUGAAAGCCCACGGCUCAACCGUGGAGGGUC